rnacentral:lncRNA from 1 species
CCUGCCUCGGCCUCCCAAAGUGCUGAGAUUACAGGCGUGAGAUACCACGCCCGGCCCAGAUUUCAUUUUAAUAGCCUAUGAUUUAGGUAGGGGUAGGAAAAGAAAGAGGGAGGCAAGUUAAGAAAACUUCCUUAGUUGUACUCUCUACCAUGGUAAGCAUAAGUAGCCUUUAAAUUAAAAACAUAGAUUACUUUUAAAAUAAUGCCAUGUUUUAAUGUAAUUAAAAUACUCCUGCAUGAAUUCAAGAAAAGCUUGAUGGCUUCAGUAAACAUUAAAAUAUAGUUCAGUGUGGCAAAGAUGAACAUUUGUGUCUGUGUUUGCAGCUCCAUUCCUCAGAGGCUCUUAAACAUGUCCAGAACAUAAUGGACCAUUUGUAGGUGGUGAAAUAGAGGCAACAGAGAAAAUAAUUUAUCUUCAAACUGUCAAAUAAAAAAUAAAUGACGUAAUUUAUUCAAUAAUUCAGAAUGCUUUCUAGCUAAGUAUUUUAAAAAAUGGUAAACUAACAAAAAACCCAUUCCCUCAACUACCAUAAUCCAGUCUUUCAACUCACUUAAGCCUCCCACACAAUUUUAGUGUGACAGCAGAAAAGUAGGAUAGCAGGAAUACAUUCUUUUGUCCUUUGUAUUUCUCCUACAGAGUAGCACAAUCAGUAACUAUAUAUACACACAGAGGGGAGAAAAAUAUUAUUUCUUUUUGACAUAUAACAAUAGAUUAUUUCUUACUAUAAAAGUGAAUUCUAAUCUAAAGACAAC